GCUUGUAGCGCAGCUGGUAGCGCAGUUGACUCUUAAUCAAUUGGUCGAGGGUUCGAAUCCCUCCAAGCC
rnacentral:tRNA from 1 species